AUUUAUUUUAAAUUUUUUGUGAGGACGAUUGGCCCUGAGCUAACAUCUGUUGCCAAUCUUCCUCUUUUUGCUUGAGGAAGAUCUGCGCCCAGGAUCUGAAGCUGUGAACCCCAGCCCAGCAAAGUGGAGCACUCAAACUUAACCACUACGCCACCAGGCCAGCCUCGUGUAAAUGCUAUUCUUGUCAAAAAACUAAAGAGAAACUCCCUUCAUACCCCAGUCUUCAAGUGAUUUCCAUGGAGCUGAAAUGGUUUGGAGGAGAGAAGCAACUAUAUAGACAAGUUUUUAAAGUUUGGGAUGAUCUCAUUUGGGGAUGAAAAAGACGGCUGUGCACUGAGAAUUUCCCACAGAUUAUCUCUAUUUGGGAAAAAAUAUAAGCUGAUAUUGUCUUUAUUUUAGGUUACUGAAAGAUGAGCCACAUCUAAAUAUAUUCUAUUCAUUCAAUUCAACAACUAUUUAUUGAGCACACACUAUGUGCAGGAUACUGUUCUCAUCACUAGAGAUGGAACAGUGAACAAAACUGACAAAAAUUCCUACCCUGUGGAACUUACGGUCCAGCCGGAGGUGAGGUAAUAAAUAAUAAACAUCAUAGUGACUAGUUCUUGUGGUAUGUUAGAAGAUGGUAAGUGCUAUGGGAAAAAAUAAAGCAGAGAAAGGAGAGGAUCAGAGGUAAAAGGGUUGGAGGGUUGGUUACAUUAUUAAGGGUGUUCAGGGAAGACCUCAUUUGAUUUUUUUUGUUUUGUUUUCUUUUGUGUGUGUGUUUUUUUUGCAAGGAAGAUUGGCCCUGAGCUAACAUCUAUUGCCUAUCUUCCUCUUUUCGCUUGAGAAAGAUUGUCAGUGAGCUAACAUCUAUGCCAAUCUUCCUCUAUUUUGUAUGUGGGAUGCCGCCACAGCAAGGCUUGAUGAGUGGUGUGUAGGUCUGUGCCUGGCAUCUGAACCUGGAAACCCCAGACCACUGAAGCAGAGCAUGCAAACUUAACCACUACAUGGCCAGGCCAGCCCCAGACCUCAUUUGAAAGGUAUCAUUUGAGCAAAGACUUCAAGAAGGUUUCUUUGGGUCAGGAGCAACUUAGCUGAGCAGUGCUGGCUUGAGAUCUCUCAUGAAGGGUCAGUCAAGAUGUCAGGUGGAGCUGCAGUCCUCUGAAAGUUCAACAGAGGCUGAGAUCCCCUUUCAAGGUGGCUCACUCACAUGGCUGAUGCCUCAGUUCUUCUCUUCAGGCUCCAUUCCCCAAGGCUGCUUGAGUAUCCUCAUAACUUGGUGGCUGGCUUACCCCAGAAUGAAUGAUUCAAGAAGGAGAGCACCGAGCGGAAGCUACGUCCUGGAAAGUAUGGUAGCAUCUUUUCGACCAUCUGUUGGUUAUCUGUGAGUCACAGUGGAGGAAGAGAACUUCUCUUUCCCAAUAGUUUCAACCACAGUUCUAGAAUUGUUUCCCAGUAGCUUUGCCUGGGUCAUCAUCACUCUGGCCAAACAUGAGUCUUGUGCUAGUCCUUGGAGCUGAGAGAUGAGGUCAGUUCCAUCUGAAACACAUGGACUGAAAGUGGGAGAGAGAGAGUUCCCCAAAGGGAAAUCAGGGUAUUGUUACCAGAAGAAGAAGGAAUAGAUACC
rnacentral:lncRNA from 1 species